rnacentral:misc_RNA from 1 species
GAAAUGCGAUAAGUAAUGUGAACUGCAGAAUUCAGUGAAUCAUCGAAUCUUUGAACGCACAUUGCGCCCGCCAGCACUCUGGCGGGCAUGCCUGUUCGAGCGUCAUUUCAACCCUCAGAACCCCUUGCGGGAUCUGGCGUUGGGGAUUGGCAUCCAGCCAGCCCCGAAAUCUAGUGGCGGUCCCUCCGCGACCUCCCCUGUGCAGUAGCGAUACCUCGCAGCGGGACAGCGGUCUGACCACGCCGUAAAACCCCCAACUUCUCAAGGUUGACCUCGAAUCAGGUAGGAAUACCCGCUGAACUUAAGC